rnacentral:lncRNA from 1 species
GGAAAGGCCACCUUGCUGAUUUGGAUCUGAGCCACCCUUCCUGCUCCGACAAAAAGGCUGACGGUGUUGAUGUCAACUGGCCUAAUGAGGAAAAGGACUGACAAAGCCACCCAGGAGACCUUUUGUCUUUAGGGCUCCUCUGGGUAGUGUUGGCUGUCCUGGCUUUUGCUUUGUAGACCAGGGUGGCCUCGAACUCAGAGAUUUUCUGGUCUCUGCCUCUCAAACGCUGGGUUUAAAGGUUCUGUUCAUUUACUCUUUCUUGAUGCUGCCUGAGGAAAUCUGAGGCUGUUUGCUUCUGUCGUUUAAUGUUGCAGUCUGUCAUCACCUCUAGCUUUCCCAAGGUGAAACAAACUAACCCCUCUAUCUACCGGCUCUUAAUGUUAGAAGGAAGCUAGCUUUUAUCAAGCCAUGUUCCAGACUGAGAGAGGACACAACGUCCCUCUCUGGUGGCCUCAUAUGAGAGCCUUCAUCUACAAAGCUGGAGCUUUCUGUGGGAGGUCACACUGACUCUUCAGGGCCACACCUCUACAGUGAGCCAGCAGGGCUGAGAGGCAGCAAAAGCCUUCUGGAAGCCUCCUUAGAGUUCCACCUU